GACAGAGGGUGCAAACGUUGUUCGGAAUUACUGGGCGUAAAGGGCGCGUAGGCGGCCUUCUAAGUCAGACGUGAAAUCCCCAGGCUUAACUUGGGAACUGCGUCUGAUACUGGGAGGCUUGAGUGCGGGAGAGGGAUGUGGAAUUCCAGGUGUAGCGGUGAAAUGCGUAGAUAUCUGGAGGAACACCGGUGGCGAAGGCGGCAUCCUGGACCGACACUGACGCUGAGGCGCGAAAGCGUGGGGAGCAAACAGG
rnacentral:rRNA from 1 species